GACGAACGCUGGCGGCGUGCCUAAUACAUGCAAGUUGAGCGCUGAAGGUUGGUACUUGUACCGACUGGAUGAGCAGCGAACGGGUGAGUAACGCGUGGGGAAUCUGCCUUUGAGCGGGGGACAACAUUUGGAAACGAAUGCUAAUACCGCAUAAAAACUUUAAACACAAGUUUUAAGUUUGAAAGAUGCAAUUGCAUCACUCAAAGAUGAUCCCGCGUUGUAUUAGCUAGUUGGUGAGGUAAAGGCUCACCAAGGCGAUGAUACAUAGCCGACCUGGGAGGGUGGUCGGCCACAAUGGGACCGAGACACGGCCCAAACUCCUACGGGAGGCAGCAGUAGGGAAUCUUCGGCAAUGGACGAAAGUCUGACCGAGCAACGCCGCGUGAGUGAAGAAGGUUUUCGGAUCGUAAAACUCUGUUGGUAGAGGAGAACGUUGGUGAGAGUGGAAAGCUCAUCAAGUGACGGUAACUACCCAGAAAGGGACGGCUAACUACGUG
rnacentral:rRNA from 1 species